GGGGUGGGGGCUGGCGGAGAGGAUGGGUGGGAAAGGUUUCCAGUGACAAAGCAGUAGCGAUCCUGUCCCCUUGGCAUUAAGGGAAAGGGGGAGGGGAAACUGGACCUGGUUUUCUGCAGGGUGGGGCUGUGGUAAUGCCCAAGGGAGGAAGGGAGGGAGGGAGGGAGAGAGAGAUUUUCAUGCAAAAUGUGUCCCAGAGAAGGAGGGAGGGAUUCGGAUGCAUUUUGCUGCAUUUCUGCCCAGGCAUCAAAAAAGAGAGAGAAAUAUUUGGGGGGGGGCGUUGGUGGAGAAGUAAAAUAAUUUAAGACACACGACUGAUCCAGAUUCUUUUCCCCCAACCUUUGACGCACGCACACUCCCGCUUCCGAAAAUAAUAAAGACCUCCCCAAGGGAGAAAUCGCAAUGGAGGCAGGUGAGGGACAGGUGGGGGUGGGGGGUGUCCUCACAUCUAAUACAAAUAGGUAAAUCAAUGGGGGGGCGACUUUUUAAAUGCCUAUUAUGAUCAGGAAGAAUAAGCCCCUCCCAAUCCGCUUUCCACCUCUGUUCCCCAAAUGGAUCCAUUUGCACAAACCUGUUGAAGUAUGAAAGGGGGGGGGGAGGACGCUUGCCUGACCACCAGUCCCUCUCUUCCAAGCCACUGGGUGCAAAGAGGAGGAGGGAGACAAUGAGGAAGACCAGGGAGCAACCGACCACGCCUGUUUUGCAACCCACGGACCGUUACGCGAACCAGCAAGCCGCCCAGGUCGCUCGCCGGGGAUGCUGCGCCGCCGCGUCUCCUUUUAUUGCGCCGUCUCCGGCUUGGUGUCACCCGCCUCUCCCGGACCUGGAUCAACCUCAGUGCCAGACCUCGGUCCCCACCGAUCGUCCCGGGGAAACGGGGCGAGACAGCAAGCGAGGGGGGCUAAGUUAGCCCUCGUCGCGACGCUGCUGCAACAGCGCAAUGCUGGAAGCGUUUAUUCGCAGGAGAGAGGCAUCUCCUCCUCGCCCGCCGGGCACCGUGACCCUCGAGGGAGGGCGAUCUCGUCCCUGCGGAAAGGGCUCCCCCAUCACCCGCAGCCGCUGCAGCGCCACCGCGGCCCCUUUCCACGCAGCGCCACCAGCCACCCAGACAGAGAUCGGCGACCGAGUGCCAACGUCUCUGCGAUCCGCAAGGGGAAGGCAACCCCCGCACCCCACCCCCAAAUCUACGCAUAGCCCUCUCGCUCGGUUUAGCAAAGCUGAAAGGAAAUCGCCUACCUCUCCUGGCGAGGGUGGUGGUGCUGGUGGGGGGCCGGGGGGGGGUCCGAUCUCCUUCGCCCUUGUAUGCAAUGCGGCGCGCUCCCUCUCUCUCAGCAGUGGCGGCGGCGGCGGCGAAGUGCAGGAGGAGGAGGAGGAGGAGGAGGUGGACUGGGAGGAGGAGGUGUCUGAAGCUGAAGUUGGCAACAGGGCUUAGUGAGCUGGGAGAGUCGGUGGUAGAGAGCAGUCCAGAAUCAGGGACAGAAGCUGGAGAGGAGAGGAGGGAAGCCAAGAGGCAGAGAUGAGUCUGACUGGUGCAGAAUCACAGGUGUUUCCACCUCCUAUGGUGACAAGCUUGAUCUCUAAGGGAAACCCGUGCCCCAGCAAUUUUGUUUGCAAAAAAAUAGACUGCUAAAUGGGUAUGUCUCUGUUAUGUAAAGUGGAAGGCCAAGUACAGGUGACUUGUUGCCAUUGGAGGUGGAUGAUGGGAGUUGCCCCAGGAAGGAGGGCAUUUCUUUCUUCAUCCCCUACCCUGUCUAGAAGUGAUGCUCCAAUUGUCUGCGUGCAAAAAAACAACAAUACCAUGGCAGUUUGAUACGAAAGCAGCUCCAUGGUGGGAGUUCUUUGAGUUUACCAUCCCUGGUUGCAUAAGAACACGUGUUGCCGUCUGAAGUGGAAUGCGAAGGAGGCCAUUAGAGCCUCUCCCAGUGACCUGUGAGGACAUAAUGUCCCCUUUAAUCUCCUCUUUGCCGCUUUGAAGAGUUUUCAGUUCGCCCAGAUCAAUGGCCCAGCUGGAGAGUUUACUCAGCUGUUUCUGAGGUAAUGCCUCAUG
ensembl:lncRNA